GCCAACGUUCAUAUCACGUUGAAUACACCAGUUCUCGUCCGAUCACUGAAGUUAAGCAACGUUGAGCGUGGAUAGUACUUACCUUCUGUUUCCAUUUACCCUUUACUCAUCAACUGUAAAUCCAAGAAAAGAAGUAC
rnacentral:rRNA from 1 species